UUCCAAACAACACAUUUUUUCUAUUAUUCAUUCAACAAUUAGUUUUUGUACUCAGAAAUUUUAAAAAUGGUAGUAAAUGAGUGGGCUAUCUUAAAAGGACAGCCCAUGGAUAAGCUAGCACAAGCCUAAAACUGAUGCACAUCAAGCCGGCUGAGGCACAAGGACUGACAAAUUGCUCUAAAUUUAUGCCCAUAAUAGAACGCAGCAUGCGGUUCUUAUUUAUGUGCGUCCGUGUGUGUGUGUUUGAUAGUAUUAGUGCAGUUGCCACAUCUGCCAGAAGCCGAGUUGCAACAAUAGAACAAACAAGCCAGAGACAAACCGAUGCGACAUGCUCCCAUAUUUACAUAGAGAAUUGUCCAAAAGCCAACAAACGUGGCCAAGUCACGUUUGUCGGGCACAGACGGCACAGUUCUUGAAUCAGUUGCGCAGUGUGUGGCCCCAGGCGGAAAUUGAAAAUCAAAAUUAAGUUCUACUUCCCUUUAAAGGGAAUAUGCAAAUGGGGCGCCAAACCACAAAAGCGCAAAAGUUUAGACAACUUUUAUUUUGGAAUUAUUGAUAAAAAGCCUUGCUGGGCUUUCCACUUUUAAA